rnacentral:rRNA from 1 species
UACGGAGGAUGCAAGCGUUAUCCGGAAUGAUUGGGCGUAAAGCGUCCGCAGGUGGCAAUGUAAGUCUGCUGUCAAAGCGUCUGGCUCAACCAGAUAAAGGCAGUGGAAACUACAUAGCUAGAGUAAGGUAGGGGUAGAGGGAAUUCCUGGUGUAGCGGUGAAAUGCGUAGAGAUCAGGAAGAACACCGGUGGCGAAAGCGCUCUGCUGGACCUUAACUGACACUGAGGGACGAAAGCUAGGGGAGCGAAU